ACCCUUUAAUGUUUGAUGUUCUAACGUGGACCCGUAAUCCGGGUUGCGGACAGUGUCUGGUGGGUAGUUUGACUGGGGCGGUCUCCUCCUAAAGAGUAACGGAGGAGCACGAAGGUUGGCUAAUCCUGGUCGGACAUCAGGAGGUUAGUGCAAUGGCAUAAGCCAGCUUGACUGCGAGCGUGACGGCGCGAGCAGGUGCGAAAGCAGGUCAUAGUGAUCCGGUGGUUCUGAAUGGAAGGGCCAUCGCUCAACGGAUAAAAGGUACUCCGGGGAUAACAGGCUGAUACCGCCCAAGAGUUCAUAUCGACGGCGGUGUUUGGCACCUCGAUGUCGGCUCAUCACAUCCUGGGGCUGAAGUAGGUCCCAAGGGUAUGGCUGUUCGCCAUUUAAAGUGGUACGCGAGCUGGGUUUAGAACGUCGUGAGACAGUUCGGUCCCUAUCUGCCGUGGGCGCUGGAGAACUGAGGGGGGCUGCUCCUAGUACGAGAGGACCGGAGUGGACGCAUCACUGGUGUUCGGGUUGUCAUGCCAAUGGCACUGCCCGGUAGCUAAAUGCGGAAGAGAUAAGUGCUGAAAGCAUCUAAGCACGAAACUUGCCCCGAGAUGAGUUCUCCCUGAGACUUUAGGUCUCCUGAAGGAACGUUGAAGACGACGACGUUGAUAGGCCGGGUGUGUAAGCGCAGCGAUGCGUUGAGCUAACCGGUACUAAUGAACCGUGAGGCUUAACCUUACAACGCCG
rnacentral:rRNA from 1 species